rnacentral:rRNA from 1 species
GAUGAACGCUGGCGGCGUGCCUAAUACAUGCAAGUCGAGCGAACAGACGAGGAGCUUGCUCCUCUGCCGUUAGCGGCGGACGGGUGAGUAAGACGUGGAUCACCUACCUAUAUGUCUGGGAUAACUUCGGGAAAACGCUGCUACUAAUGGCUAAUAUAUUCAACCGCUUGGUUCAAUAGUGCAAGACGGCUUUGCCGUUUCUUUUAGCCGGAUUCGCGCCGCAUUAGCUACUUGGUAAGGUAACGGCUUACCAAGGCAACGAUGCGUAGCCGACCUGAUGGGGGAAUCGGCCACACGGAAACGAGGACACGUUCCAGACCCCUACGGGAGGCAGCAGUAGGGAAUCUUCCGCAAGGGGCGAAAGCCUGACGAAGCAACGCGGCUGGAGUAAGGAAGGUCUUCGGAUCGUAAAACUCUGUUAUGAGGGAAAAACAAAUGUGUAAGUAACUAUGCACGUCUGGACGGUACCUAAUCAGAAAGCCACGGCAAACUACGG